rnacentral:rRNA from 1 species
AGUCGAAACUAAUUAUACAUAAAAAAAGCAGUUAAAUACCUAAUCAAAUUAUAAUAAAAUUAUAAGAUAAAGAAUAACUACACUUACUAUUCAAAUAAAUGAAUAAUCAAAUCAAUUUUUCUUUUAUUAUUUUAACCUCUGAUUUUUCUUACCUUUUUAAGAUUAGCUUUUUUAAGGUUAAGAAUAUUUCUUUAGUUUAUUUAACCUAUUAAAGUUAGAUAUAAAAAUAAAAUACUCCUUACUACUAACCCCUACCAUUCCUCUUAUGGAGGAUAAAGUAGGCAAAAAAGUAGUCAAUAAAUAAAUUAAUAGAAAUAUAAAUAAUAAUCAAUAUUUUAUUAUUUAUAAUGUUUUACUUAUUUUAAAAUUAUAC